UUCAUAGGUCUCACUUGCGAAAGCUUCAAGUUUCCCCAUCUGAGACUGCCAUGACGGAUGUACUACGUGAGCUAUAUAAUUGGAUAGUGUUUUUGUGCAGCUGUUGACUGUGAAGAUAAUUCUUGAAAGGGACGAUGAAGAUGACGAUGAUAAUUCCAAUGGUAACCACCAGGAACCGAAAGAGAAGAAACACAUUUUCAAACUCGAGAUACUAGCAGGAAAUGCGAGAAAGGGACGGUCGAUGAGCUUUCUCAGAUGAUGCACUUUGAGCAGUGUUUACACAGCGGCAUUGUGGUCGUUCAUGUUAAUUCCAAAAAUGAUAUUAAAGCUG